rnacentral:rRNA from 1 species
AUGAACGCUAGCUACAGGCUUAACACAUGCAAGUCGAGGGGCAUCAGGAAGAAAGCUUGCUUUCUUUGCUGGCGACCGGCGCACGGGUGAGUAACACGUAUCCAACCUGCCCUUUACUCGGGGAUAGCCUUUCGAAAGAAAGAUUAAUACCCGAUGGCAUAAUGAUUCCGCAUGGUUUCAUUAUUAAAGGAUUCCGGUAAAGGAUGGGGAUGCGUUCCAUUAGGUUGUUGGUGAGGUAACGGCUCACCAAGCCUUCGAUGGAUAGGGGUUCUGAGAGGAAGGUCCCCCACAUUGGAACUGAGACACGGUCCAAACUCCUACGGGAGGCAGCAGUGAGGAAUAUUGGUCAAUGGGCGCUAGCCUGAACCAGCCAAGUAGCGUGAAGGAUGAAGGCUCUAUGGGUCGUAAACUUCUUUUAUAUAAGAAUAAAGUGCAGUAUGUAUACUGUUUUGUAUGUAUUAUAUGAAUAAGGAUCGGCUAACUCCGUGCCAGCAGCCGCGGUAAUACGGAGGAUCCGAGCGUUAUCCGGAUUUAUUGGGUUUAAAGGGAGCGUAGGUGGACUGGUAAGUCAGUUGUGAAAGUUUGCGGCUCAACCGUAAAAUUGCAGUUGAUACUGUCAGUCUUGAGUACAGUAGAGGUGGGCGGAAUUCGUGGUGUAGCGGUGAAAUGCUUAGAUAUCACGAAGAACUCCGAUUGCGAAGGCAGCUCACUGGACUGCAACUGACACUGAUGCUCGAAAGUGUGGGUAUCAAACAGGAUUAGAUACCCUGGUAGUCCACACAGUAAACGAUGAAUACUCGCUGUUUGCGAUAUACAGUAAGCGGCCAAGCGAAAGCAUUAAGUAUUCCACCUGGGGAGUACGCCGGCAACGGUGAAACUCAAAGGAAUUGACGGGGGCCCGCACAAGCGGAGGAACAUGUGGUUUAAUUCGAUGAUACGCGAGGAACCUUACCCGGGCUUAAAUUGCAGUGGAAUGAUGUGGAAACAUGUCAGUGAGCAAUCACCGCUGUGAAGGUGCUGCAUGGUUGUCGUCAGCUCGUGCCGUGAGGUGUCGGCUUAAGUGCCAUAACGAGCGCAACCCUUAUCUUUAGUUACUAACAGGUCAUGCUGAGGACUCUAGAGAGACUGCCGUCGUAAGAUGUGAGGAAGGUGGGGAUGACGUCAAAUCAGCACGGCCCUUACGUCCGGGGCUACACACGUGUUACAAUGGGGGGUACAGAAGGCAGCUAGCGGGUGACCGUAUGCUAAUCCCAAAAUCCUCUCUCAGUUCGGAUCGAAGUCUGCAACCCGACUUCGUGAAGCUGGAUUCGCUAGUAAUCGCGCAUCAGCCACGGCGCGGUGAAUACGUUCCCGGGCCUUGUACACACCGCCCGUCAAGCCAUGGGAGCCGGGGGUACCUGAAGUACGUAACCGCAAGGAUCGUCUUAGGGUAAAACUGGUGACUGGGGCU